rnacentral:rRNA from 1 species
UGGGGAAUAUUGCACAAUGGGCGAAAGCCUGAUGCAGCGACGCCGCGUGAGUGAAGAAGUAUUUCGGUAUGUAAAGCUCUAUCAGCAGGGAAGAAAAUGACGGUACCUGACUAAGAAGCCCCGGCUAACUACGUGCCAGCAGCCGCGGUAAUACGUAGGGGGCAAGCGUUAUCCGGAUUUACUGGGUGUAAAGGGAGUGUAGGUGGCAUAACAAGUCAGAAGUGAAAGCCCGGGGCUCAACCGCGGGACUGCUUUUGAAACUGUUAAGCUUGAGUGCAGGAGAGGUAAGCGGAAUUCCUAGUG